rnacentral:sRNA from 1 species
AGUCAAGAUGGCGGGAGCAGCUACCCAGGCUUCCCUGGAGUCGGCCCCACGGAUCAUGCGGCUGGUGGCCGAAUGCAGCCGCUCCAGGGCCCGGGCAGGCGAGCUGUGGCUGCCGCAUGGGACAGUGGCCACUCCUGUGUUCAUGCCAGUGGGCACGCAGGCCACCAUGAAGGGCAUCACGACCGAACAGCUGGACGCUCUGGGUUGCCGCAUCUGCCUGGGCAAUACCUACCAUCUGGGUCUAAGGCCGGGACCCGAGCUGAUCCAGAAAGCCAACGGUCUCCACGGCUUCAUGAAUUGGCCUCAUAAUCUGCUAACGGUGAGCUGAGGAGAGAGCCGACGUUCUAGGGCCCUUCUCUGGAGUGAAGGGUCCCCAUCUCCACCCCCUGACAGCUUUGCGGUGGGGUUUCCCUUAGGACAGCGGCGGUUUCCAGAUGGUGUCGCUGGUGUCUCUGUCCGAGGUGACGGAGGAGGGCGUCCGCUUCCGCUCCCCCUACGACGGCAAUGAGACCCUGCUGAGCCCGGAGAAAUCCGUGCAGAUCCAGAAUGCGCUGGGCUCGGACAUCAUCAUGCAGCUGGACGAUGUGGUUAGCAGUACUGUGACUGGGCCACGUGUGGAGGAGGCCAUGUACAGGUCAAUCCGCUGGCUGGACCGGUGCAUUGCAGCCCAUCAGCGGCCGGACAAGCAGAACCUCUUCGCCAUUAUCCAGGGUGGGCUGGACGCAGAUCUCCGGGCCACCUGCCUUGAAGAGAUGACCAAGCGAGACGUGCCUGGCUUCGCCAUCGGGGGCCUGAGCGGGGGUGAGAGCAAGUCGCAGUUCUGGCGGAUGGUGGCGCUGAGCACCU